AGAGAAGGAUCUGGGGAGACAUCAUUGCAGCCUUCCGAUGUGCCAGUGCCUCUCUCCUAAUGGUUCUGAGGAUGUCCUCUGCUAACAAAGCAGCUGUGUGCUAGCACUUGGGCUCCAGGUGGUGAGGAUGCCCAAGGCCAAGGAGCACAGCUGAAAGCACAAUAUUUGCUGUCUCCAGAUCUUUGUACCAAGGAUCCUGCUCCAGGGCAGUGCUGUCUGUGUUACUGCUCCCUCUGCAGCUGAACACUGCCAGAAAGCUGUUGCCAGAAGUCUCCCUGCUGCAGCUUUUGACAAGCUCCCUGCACAAGAUUUAGGAUGACCUCUGUCCAGGCCUGCAUACUGCAUCUAAGCCAUCAGUCCUAUCAGAGCACAAACAGCACCAGAUGGAUGUAGAAAACUGCACACACCCCUCAAUACACUUCAGCUCCUCUACCAAACCAACCCACAUUUUUGUUGGCUUUUGGCUUCUUUGCGUAAAAACUGUAAAGUAAGUUUCAUGGGCUAGGGAAAUGCGGAAAGAAAGCACAUAGAACCAGGUACAGUGGAGGCUUAUUAUCAUGGAUUAUCACAAAACUGUGCUCUCAAGUAUUUUAACCAUGAUAAAUGUAUCUGAAACAGAUGGCAAUCGUUUAAAAUUUAACUCAGUCUCAGCCAGCUUGCAACACACAUAUUGUUUCCUAUUGUCAUAUUGUGAUUUAGUGCCUUAUUUUAUUUAUGCAAAAGGGCUGAGUAUGCAUCUUGAAUGGAUUAACUUCACUUCUUACAUAAAGUCACAAAAUUGUCCACAGAGCUAACCUAUACGAAAAUGAAAAUUGUU